AAUUUUCGGCAAUGGGCGCAAGCCUGACCGAGCAACGCCGCGUGAGUGAAGAAGAAUUUCGGUUCGUAAAGCUCUGUUGUAAGGGAAGAAUAACACGGAGAGAAUCCGUGCAUGACGGUACCUUACCAGAAAGCCACGGCUAACUACGUGCCAGCAGCCGCGGUAAUACGUAGGUGGCGAGCGUUAUCCGGAUUUAUUGGGCGUAAAGGGUGCGUAGGCGGCCUGUUAAGUUUAAGGUGAAAGCGUGGGGCUUAACCCCAUCGAGCCUUAGAUACUGGCAGGCUAGAGUACUGGAGAGGAAAGUGGAAUUCCAUGUGUAGCGGUAAAAUGCGUAGAUAUAUGGAGGAACACCGGUGGCGAAGGCGGCUUUCUAGACAGUAACUGACGCUGAGGCACGAAAGCGUGGGGAGCAAAU
rnacentral:rRNA from 1 species